rnacentral:snRNA from 1 species
GGAUGUGAGGGCAAUCUGGCUGCGACAUCUGUCACCCCACUGAUCGCCAGGGUUGAUUCGGCUGAUCUGGCUGGCUAGGCGGGUAUCCCCUUCCUCCCUCACCACUCCAUGUGCGUCCCUCCCGAAGCUGAGCGCUCCCCGGUCGAAGAGGAUGACCAUCCCCGAUAGAGGAGGACCGUUCUUCGGUCAAGGAUAUACGAGUAGCUGUGCUCCCCUGCUAGAACCUCCAAACAAGCUCUCAAGGUCCAAAUGAAGACAUUUCAAAAUUCCUUAUGUUUUGUGAUUUUAUUAAACACAUACAAACUUUU